AGGGCGACUUCUAUGUAGAUGAGGCAGCGCAGAGGCUGCUGCUUCGCCACUUGCUGCUUCGCCACGAAGGAGUUCCCGUGCCCUGGGAGCGGGUUCAGGACCGCGGAUCGGAACCUCCAGGACCACUGGCUGCCCAUGAGAGACGAAGGAUGGCAUCCAAGGGGGCCGGCGUGUCUUUCUCCCGCAAGAGCUGUAGGCUGACCUCAGAUGCUGAGAAAUCCAGGGUCACAGGCAUUGUGCAGGAGAAGCUGCUGAAUGACUACCUGAACCGCAUCUUUCCUCUUCUGACCAUGCACCCCCAGCAGCCACCGGCAGUUACUCGGGAGGCUGAGGCAGGAGAAUCGCUUGAACCGGAGAGGCGGACGUUGCAGUGAGCCGAGGUCAAACCAGUGCACUCCAGCCUGGGCAACAGAGCGAGACUCCAUCUGAAAAAGAAACAAAAAG
ensembl:lncRNA novel transcript